GUCUUUUGCCAUACCUCUCUGAACACUCCUGAUCUAAUCUGACCCCACAAGCUGCGCAGGGCCAGGCCUGGCUAGUGUUUGGAUGGGCUCUGAAGUCC
rnacentral:rRNA from 1 species